GUCGAACGCUGGCGGCGUGCUUAACACAUGCAAGUCGACAUGAGUGGCGAACGGGUGAGUAAUACGUGGGUAACCUGCCCUCCUUUUUGGGAUAAGCCUUGGAUAUGGGGUCUAUUAUCGUAUCUUGGGGGUUUGGCUCGUGGCUUAUCAGGUUGUUGGUGGGGUGAUGGCGUACCAAGGCGGUGACGGGUAGCCGGCGUGAGAGGGUGACCGGGCACAUAGGGACGGCGAGACGGCCCAGGGUCCUAAGGGAGGCGGAAGUGUGGGAUAUUGGACAAUGGGCGAAAGCCUGAUGCAGCGAGGCCGCGUGGGGGAUUAAGGCUUUCGAGUUGUAAAACUCUUGAGCUAGCGAACGGGUAGGUGGAGAAGAAGCGCCGGCUAACUACGUGCCAGCAGCCGCGGUAAUUC
rnacentral:rRNA from 1 species